rnacentral:rRNA from 1 species
UACGAAGGGGGCUAGCGUUGCUCGGAAUUACUGGGCGUAAAGCGCACGUAGGCGGCUUUCUAAGUUGGGGGUGAAAUCCUGGAGCUCAACUCCAGAACCGCCUUCGAUACUGGGAAGCUCGAGUCCGGGAGAGGUGAGUGGAACUGCGAGUGUAGAGGUGAAAUUCGUAGAUAUUCGCAAGAACACCAGUGGCGAAGGCGGCUCACUGGCCCGGUACUGACGCUGAGGUGCGAAAGCGUGGGGAUCAAACAGG